CGAAAUCAGGAAAAACGAUUUUGAUGAUGAUGUUAAUUUUGAUUCCUUGAAUUUAAAUGAAACCCCGUCUCCAACUAGCAACUUGGAUGCAUCUACUUCCGAAACAUCCUUACCCAAGGAUUGGAAGUAUGUAGAUGCUCAUCCUAAGGAGCUAAUCUUAGGAGACACAUCAAAGGGGGUUCAAACACGUUCUUCUCUUAAAAAUUUU
rnacentral:lncRNA from 1 species